rnacentral:rRNA from 1 species
CCUACGGGAGGCUGCAGUGGGGAAUCUUGCACAAUGGGGGAAACCCUGAUGCAGCGACGCCGCGUGAGCGAUGAAGCCCUUCGGGGUGUAAAGCUCUUUCGGCAGGGACGAUAAUGACGGUACCUGCAGAAGCAGCUGCGGCUAACUACGUGCCAGCAGCCGCGGUAAUACGUAGGCAGCGAGCGUUGUUCGGAAUUACUGGGCGUAAAGGGUGUGUAGGCGGUUUUCUAAGUUCGGUGUGAAAUCUCCCGGCUCAACCGGGAGGGUGCGCCGAAAACUGGGAGGCUAGAGUGCGGGAUGGGAAAGUGGAAUUCCUGGUGUAGCGGUGAAAUGCGUAGAUAUCAGGAGGAACACCGGUGGUGUAAACGGCUUUCUGGACCGUAACUGACGCUGAGACACGAAAGCGUGGGUAGCAAACAGGAUUAGAUACCCCUGUAGUC